rnacentral:rRNA from 1 species
GAUGAACGCUGGCGGCGUGCCUAAUACAUGCAAGUCGAGCGAAUGGAUUAAGAGCUUGCUCUUAUGAAGUUAGCGGCGGACGGGUGAGUAACACGUGGGUAACCUGCCCAUAAGACUGGGAUAACUCCGGGAAACCGGGGCUAAUACCGGAUAACAUUUUGAACCGCAUGGUUCGAAAUUGAAAGGCGGCUUCGGCUGUCACUUAUGGAUGGACCCGCGUCGCAUUAGCUAGUUGGUGAGGUAACGGCUCACCAAGGCAACGAUGCGUAGCGGACCUGAGAGGGUGAUCGGCCACACUGGGACUGAGACACGGCCCAGACUCCUACGGGAGGCAGCAGUAGGGAAUCUUCCGCAAUGGACGAAAGUCUGACGGAGCAACGCCGCGUGAGUGAUGAAGGCUUUCGGGUCGUAAACUCUGUUGUUAGGGAAGAACAAGUGCUAGUUGAAUAAGCUGGCACCUUGACGGUACCUAACCAGAAAGCCACGGCUAACUACGUGCCAGCAGCCGCGGUAA